rnacentral:rRNA from 1 species
AUUGAACGCUGGCGGAAUGCUUUACACAUGCAAGUCGAACGGCAGCACGGGGCAACCUGGUGGCGAGUGGCGAACGGGUGAGUAAUAUAUCGGAACGUGCCCAAUCGUGGGGGAUAACGUAGCGAAAGUUACGCUAAUACCGCAUACGAUCUACGGAUGAAAGCGGGGGAUCGCAAGACCUCGCGCGAAUGGAGCGGCCGAUAUCAGAUUAGGUAGUUGGUGGGGUAAAGGCUCACCAAGCCAACGAUCUGUAGCUGGUCUGAGAGGACGACCAGCCACACUGGAACUGAGACACGGUCCAGACUCCUACGGGAGGCAGCAGUGGGGAAUUUUGGACAAUGGGCGCAAGCCUGAUCCAGCCAUUCCGCGUGCAGGAUGAAGGCCUUCGGGUUGUAAACUGCUUUUGUACGGAACGAAACGGUCUGCCCUAAUACGGCAGGCUAAUGACGGUACCAUAAGAAUAAGCACCGGCUAACUACGUG